rnacentral:rRNA from 1 species
AUUGAACGCUGGCGGCAGGCCUAACACAUGCAAGUCGAACGAGUGGCGGACGGGUGAGUAAUGUCUGGGAAACUGCCUGAUGGAGGGGGAUAACUACUGGAAACGGUAGCUAAUAACGAAUACCAUCGGAUGUGCCCCGAUGGGAUUAGCUAGUAGGUGGGGUAACGGAGCACCAAGGAGACGAUCCCUAGCUGGUCUGAGAGGAUGACCAGCCACACUGGAACUGAGACACGGGCCAGACGCCUAUGGGAGGCAGCAGUGGGGAAUAUUGCACAAUGGGCGCAAGCCUGAUGCAGCCAUGCCGCGUGUAUGAAGAAGGCCUUCGGGUUGUAAAGUACUUUCAGCGAGGAGGCGUUACUCGCAGAAGAAGCACCGGCUAACUCCGUGCCAGCAGCCGCGGUAAUUC